rnacentral:rRNA from 1 species
AUUGAACGCUGGCGGCAGGCCUAACACAUGCAAGUCGAACGGUAACAGAAAGUAGCUUGCUACUUUGCUGACGAGUGGCGGACGGGUGAGUAAUGUCUGGGGAUCUGCCUGAUGGAGGGGGAUAACUACUGGAAACGGUAGCUAAUACCGCAUAAUGUCGCAAGACCAAAGCGGGGGACUUUCGGGCCUCGCGCCAUCAGAUGAACCCAGAUGGGAUUAGCUAGUAGGUAGGGUAAUGGCUUACCUAGGCGACGAUCCCUAGCUGGUCUGAGAGGAUGACCAGCCACACUGGAACUGAGACACGGUCCAGACUCCUACGGGAGGCAGCAGUGGGGAAUAUUGCACAAUGGGCGCAAGCCUGAUGCAGCCAUGCCGCGUGUAUGAAGAAGGCCUUCGGGUUGUAAAGUACUUUCAGUCAGGAGGAAGGGUGUGAAAUUAAUACUUUCAUGCAUUGACGUUACUGACAGAAGAAGCACCGGCUAACACCGUGCCAGCCGCCGCGGUAAUAC